GACGUAGGGGGCAAGCGUUGUCCGGAAUCAUUGGGCGUAAAGAGCGUGUAGGCGGUCCGGUAAGUCGGUUGUGAAAGCCCAGGGCUCAACCCUGGGAUGCCGACCGAUACUGUCGGACUAGAGUUCGGAAGAGGCGAGUGGAAUUCCCGGUGUAGCGGUGAAAUGCGCAGAUAUCGGGAGGAACACCUAUGGCGAAGGCAGCUCGCUGGGACGUUACUGACGCUGAGACGCGAAAGCGUGGGGAGCAAACAGG
rnacentral:rRNA from 1 species